GGCUACCAAAAAAGAAGGCAUGGAUACAACACACCUCAAAACUGUCUUGACAGGAGUGUGUGUAUGUAUGUAUGUAUGCAGAAUGACAUGAGCAUACCCAAAGGCAUGGGAGGAAGUAAUUAAGAAAAAUAUCUCUAAGUGCCAGGUCUUGGAAGGUCUCGACUUCUUAAUUUAUAAACUCCUACUGAAGUCAACAGACUUACAGCCAUCCAGCAAGUGUUCACAGAAUGGUAAUCUGUAUUUUAGAGUUAAAUAAAAAAAUUACAUUGAGACAUAUUUGGGACUAGUAGGAGAGGUGAGACUGUAAAGCAUGAAAAAAGGUGUGACUCAUUUAAGUGUUUGAAUGAAAAGAGGAAUAGGCAUAGAGCAAUAUGGAAUAGUUAUUGAAGACCACAGAAGCUGUGAA